GACGAAGGGGGCUAGCGUUGUUCGGAAUUACUGGGCGUAAAGCGAGUGUAGGUGGUUGUCGUAGUCAGGCGUGAAAGCCUUGAGCUCAACUCAAGAAAUGCGCUUGAUACUGGGCAGCUAGAGGACCGGAGAGGAUAGUGGAAUUCCCAGUGUAGUGGUGAAAUACGUAGAGAUUGGGAAGAACACCAGUGGCGAAGGCGGCUAUCUGGACGGUUUCUGACACUAAGACUCGAAAGCGUGGGAAGCAAACAGG
rnacentral:rRNA from 1 species